GCGGACGUAGCUCAGUUGGUAGAGCGCGAGCUUCCCAAGCUCGAGGUCGCGGGUUCGACCCCCGUCGUCCGCU
rnacentral:tRNA from 2 species